rnacentral:lncRNA from 1 species
UGCAAUGGGGUAUGGGGUUAGAUGAAUAACAAAUUUGAACAUAUUACGAAACUGUAGGUUUAAUCUUUGAAAAAAAACUUACACGUGAAUAGGGCCAAGGAAUGGUAUAGCCAAUAGCAUCUAUUAGUGUACGAAUCUAAAAAAUAGGUCUAGGUACCAGCUCAUCUCCUUUAUUUCUACUGUCAACAUUUUCAAGACCUUCAACAUAAACCCCGACAUAUUCCUUUCCAAGCAUGCUUCCUCCAAUCUCUUGUUUUCCAUCAGUAGUCACUAACUUCGUUUUGGCUACAAUUCUUCCUUUAUUUCUUAGUAAAAGAAGGUAGACUGGAUAACGGCACUACAAUUUUGCAAAACAUGAAUAUAAGAGUUUUGUACAUUUAACUAAUUUAACUAUAAAAUAAACAAGCAGAAUAGAAGCAUACCGAUUCUGAUCGGUUCAAACUAGGGGCUUUAACUCUUCGAGUUCUCUAGAAUAGGCAGAAAUUAUAUUAGUCAAAAUAUAGCAUCACUAAAGUAAGUUCACUCAUUAUAAACAAUAUUGCAAUGUUAGCUUAGACAUACCAUGUUUGUGAAUAUGGGAUCCUGUGAAAAAUUUGUGUCUGCAUUACCAUUACCUUCAUUAAUAGAACUCUAAAUAUGUGCCUCCUCCAGCCACAGUGUAGAUAACUGUAUGAGUUUGUAGAUAACUAGAUAUGGCUAAAGUAGAUGUAUCAUAAAAAAAGUAUGUGCACUAAUGGAGUUUCUUGCCUUUGUAAUGCCAGGUCAGACUUAUAAAAUGGAAGGGACAUCGGAAAGAAAGAAUCAAAGAAGUAACACAGUCUAAAAUGUUUUGUGAGUUAUAGCAGGAAAGCAAACAUAUGGCAUGGAACAAGACAUCAUUAACAGACAAUUGCAAGUGCUCCUUAUUGGGAAAAGAGUACAUUUAACAAGCUGACAUUUGCAGGGCAAAUAAUUUGUGACUCAAAGCAAAGUCUUGUAACUAAAAAUAGUUCAAUGGGUCACACACACAUGAAACUUACAUAUUAUCUUAAUGGGGGUUUUCUGCUUCAGUAGCACUUUGUGCUUAGAUAAUAAACUAAAAAGAUCCUUUAUAGAUUAGAGAAAGUAUAUAUGCUAGGACAGCCAUCGUUCGUCUUCAACUAAAAUUAUAUGCAUUGUUGAGAAACAAGGCAGAGUUUGUCUACUGAAAUUUGACAUGGAUACACUAGGAUAGCUGGGGCCAAU